rnacentral:rRNA from 1 species
AGAUUGAACGCUGGCGGCAGGCCUAACACAUGCAAGUCGAGCGGUAGAGAGGUGCUUGCACCUCUUGAGAGCGGCGGACGGGUGAGUAAUGCCUAGGAAUCUGCCUAGUGGUGGGGGAUAACGUUCGGAAACGGACGCUAAUACCGCAUACGUCCUACGGGAGAAAGCGGGGGACCUUCGGGCCUCGCGCCAUUAGAUGAGCCUAGGUCGGAUUAGCUAGUUGGUGAGGUAAUGGCUCACCAAGGCGACGAUCCGUAACUGGUCUGAGAGGAUGAUCAGUCACACUGGAACUGAGACACGGUCCAGACCUCCGUACGGGAGGCAGCAGGUGGGAAUAGUUGGACAAGUGGGCGAAAGCCUGACUCCAGCCAUCGCCGCGUGUGGUAGAAAGGACGGUACGUUCGGAAUUU